GAGGGUAUAUCUCAGUGGUAGAGUGUGUACUUUGCAUGCACGAGGUUCUGGGUUCAAUCCCAGUACCUCCA
rnacentral:tRNA from 1 species